ensembl:lncRNA
AAUAAUCUACCUCUUCCCAAAACCUCAGAGUUGGGGUGAAAGAAAGUUGUGUGUCAUUUCCUUGCACGCUAAGGCUUUUAUCUAUAAACAGAAAACGAAAUACAGGGGCUGCUUUAAAGAGAUUUUAAAGCAGAAAAUCAGGUCCCGGAAGAUUCCCGAGAGUGUGCCCGCAGUGAAUUAAGACACGCUAACUCUCGUGAGCGGCGAUGGGAACAGAGGCAUUCUGCAAAGGGGUAAUGGGGUGGAGUUUAGUAAAAUAGAGCACUAUACAUUUGGGCGGCUUUCCCCUGACUCCCACCUUCUUCCCGGGUUCCAAACUCUUGGCUUUGCCGCGGGGCGAACUCAGAAGGGCUGAGGGACCUCGCACACGCCCUCACGACCUCUCGCCUUCCCAGUAAAAAGAACUGAAGGGCAGAGAUAGAGGGCCCAGGAGAAGCGGCGAACAGGAAGUGUCCAUAUUGCAGAGCAGAAACACUAACUCCCACCCCGAGAUAGCACCCUCGGCGGACCCCCGGGCGCCCGCUGGAGGAAGGGCCCGAGCGUGCCGAGGUCUGCCACCCCCACAUCCGGGACCCAGCCCUGCCCACCCCAACGCUCGGCCGCCCGGCUGUUCGGAGUUCACUGCCGGCCGCGCCCGGCGCCUCCCCGGGCUCUACUUGGCCCGGCCCAGCCAGUCCGCCCGGGGCCGGACGAGAACUCCACGCCCGGCACGUCUCGCUGCACUUCAAGCCGGGGGAGGGGGUUCCGGCAAUGACUCCCGACGGGCUUGGGGCGCUUCCCUCAACAGUAGAUUCGCCCCGAGUCGAGCCCGAAGAGUCCUCGGGGCCACCUCCAAGCCUUUCCGAAGCGCCGGCAACACUAGCCGCGGUUUCCGCCGUGGACACCCGCUCCCGGGCCGUCAUUACACCCCUCAAGAAAAACUCCUAACUCCUCACCGGGCCGCACUACCCUCAGUUCGCCGCCCCCCGGGAGCCCACAAACCACCCAAGCCACGCGCAAGGGAAGACUCCCGUGGCGGCGCCAAUUCAUCACGGGACAAAAAUGUCCGGGCGCGUCACGGGACAGCCACCUCCGCGCCCCACGCCCGGCGCCUGCCGCACGCGCUGUCCCCGAGCCCGGGAGCCGCGGGCAGCUCGGGGCCGGGAGCACGGACGCCGGGCAGCGCCGGCUGGGGAAGACGCCGCUCCGCUCGGGACUCACCGUCAGCUCGGCCGCCGCAGCGGAGGGGCGAGCUAGACUGGAUGUUUUGGAGGAGAACUGAUGAAGUCAGCUCAGACCGUAAAGAAUACGCCUACAGUAUGGGAGACCUGGGUUCAAUCCCUGGGUUGGAAAGAUCCCCUGGAGGAGGNNNNNNNNNNNNNNNNNNNNNNNNNNNNNNNNNNNNNNNNNNNNNNAGAGGAGCCUGGUGGACUACAAUCCAUGGGAUCACAAAGAGUUGGACACAUCUGAGUGACUAAGCACACAUGAUGAAGUCAGAAACCUCCUCUAAUAUUUCCCCUUUUAUUUCCCUCUGCUGUGAAACUCUUUGCUCCCCAAUACCAGCACUUUAUCAUCUCAACAAGAGCCUCACUGUUGCUACAAGUUUGGGCUCUUCAGCCUUGCUGUUACUUUAAUCCACCAGGAGUUGUCUGGGAGGACUAUUCUCAUGUUACUCCUUCCAACAGGAAACUACAGAAACUCUUGCCAACUGCAGUGGUUUUCAAAGUGUGGUCCUGGAACCAGCACCAGCAACAUCUCCUGAGAACUUCUUAGAAAUAGACACUUGGUCUUCACCUCAGUCAUACAGAAUCACAAACUCUGAAGGUAGGCCCUACAGUCUAUGGCUUAACAAGCCCUAGAUGAUUCUGAUUCCUGCUAAGGAUUGAGAAGCUCUGGCCAAUUGGAUCCAGAGGGAGCUCUUUUUCUUUCCUCCAAGGCUCAGCCAUCUUCUCUGGCUAUUGAUUCAGUUUCAUUAGUAUUUAGUAAACAGGGAUUCUGCGUUGGGGAUUUGCAUUUGCUCUCCAGCUAGCUUGAACCCUAAUUUGUUGUACUUCGUAUUGCCUGGUAAAUUUUGUGUGUGUGUUUUUUUUUUUUUAACAGUACUAAGGAAUAAGAUGUUUCAUAUUUAUGAACGAGAAUCCCAUAUGACCAAGACAUAUUCUUUUAUAUGCCAAAAUGUUAAAAGCUGGUAAAUAUUUUUUGCAUUCCUAUACUAAUUAUACUUAGCUAGGAACCAAAUUACUUCCCAAAUUAGAGGCUUAAAACAAAUGGUUAUUUUACAGUUUAUGCAGAUCAGGGGUCUGGGUGUAGUUUAGCCAAGCAUCUCAGUCUCAAGGUCAAGUAUAAGUCCCCAGUCAAGAAGUCAACGGGGCUGUUGACUCAUCGGGUAACACACUCACUCAUGGGUUGUUGGCAGAAUCCAGUUCCUUGUGGGUUGUUGGCCUGAGGACCUCAGUUCCUCAUUGCAUGAUCAGAGGCCUCCCUAAGUUUUUUGCUCUGUGAACCUCUCUACAGGCAGCUUGCAACAUGGCAGCUGGCUUCCUUGGUGCCAGCAAACUAGAGAGUUAGAGUGGGUGAGCAGGAAAGAAGUCAUAUUUUGUCUGUACCCUAAUCUCGAAUGUGACAUCCCAUUAUCUUCGCUGUACCCAUAUUUCUCACUUUCAGAUCCACAGCUUCUCUGAACACGAGGGUGAGGGAUACCGGAAGGAACCACUGGGCUUUCACCUACAAUGCUUUAGUUGAUGUACACCUUUGGGUUCAUUAUAGCUGAUUUUUUAUUUGGAUAGUAAACUUUGGAAAACACUUUUACCUAAUUUUUUUCUUUCUUUUUUAAAAAAAUUUUUAAUUUUUGGUGCACUGUAUCUUCAAUGCUAUGUGCAGGCUGUCUCUAGUUGCCGUGAGCAGGGGUGGGGAUGGCUACUCUCUAGUUGUGGUGUACCAGCUUCUCAUUGAAGUGGCUUCUCUUGCUGCUAAACACAGUCUCUAGAGUGUGGGCUCAAUAGUUGUGACACACAGGGUCAUCCGGGUCAUGUGGGAUCUUCCUGAACCAGGGAUUGAAGCCAUGCCCCUGCACUGGCGGGCAGAUCCUUAACCAUUGAACUACCAGAGAAGUCCCAUUUUUACCUGAUUUUAUGCACAUAUUUUUUUCAUUAAUUAAUCAAUUUAAAAAUUGUGGUUGCAUUGGGUCUUUUUUGCUGUGCAUGGACUUCCUCUGGUUGUGGUGCGCGGGCUUCUCUUUGUGGUGGCUUUUUUUGUUUUGGAGCACAGGCUCCAGGUGCAUGGGCUCCAGUAGUGGAGGCUUGCGGGCUUUUAGUUGCUCUGGGGCAUGUGGAAUCUUCCCAGACCAGAGACUGGAACCGUGACCUCAGCACUGGCAGGCAGAUUCCUAUCCACUGUACUUAGAUUGCUAGAAUUCAGAUGAUAAGGAACUCCCACACUUGUGGAACCCUCCCUUAAUCCCAGGGACCUCUGCGCCUUCUUAGAUUUUGUUUUCUUUAUCUUUUUUCAAACGUGAGUCCCUUAGUUAUUUAAUAGUUCAUCACUUGAGUUUGUUUAUAAGUCUUCUUAAAUGUUAUGUGGAAGGAAGAAAACAGAAAACCAUUUAGGAUAAAUGGAGUGCUUGCCUAUUUAUUCAAAUCAAGCCCUCAGUUUAGUAUUACAGAUGGGCAUUCCUUUAGUAAAUAAUAAAAAGUAAAACUUUUGCUUACAGACCCAUGGGAGGUAGAGCUUGGAGAAAGCAACGGAAAAUCAUUUAUGUGCCAAACAGUAUUUGCUACACAAGAAGAUUCCUGUCAAAAUUUCCCUUUUGUAAUGAUUUUUUUUUCUUUUCAGUAUAUGUUUGUUUCACAGAUGUUCAGAAUCAUAUUAGUGAAGUUUGGUACAUCCUUCUGGUAGAAACUGUCAGUUCUCUAACCAGUAUUUAUCUGAACACUCCUCAUUAUUAACAUAAUUCUGAUUUUGUUUAGGGUAACCAAUUGCCUAACUGAAAAUUUAAGCAUAAUCCAAUUCCUGCUAAUGAAUUGUAAGUGGGAAUUGCUAAGUGAGGCUUUUGGGAAAACUCUUUAAAAGUAGGCAGAUCUAAGCUGGUAGUUAAGCUUUACCCCUUGAUCUUUACUUUCUUUCUGUCUGCUAUAUUGGUACAGUGUUGCAGAAGGAAUUUUUAUCUGCCAUCAUGCAACCAUGAAGCAACAUGGGUGAAGAAAGACGGCUAAGAGCAGCCACCCUAUACACACUGUGGUGCCAUGUUAGCUUUGGAGCAGCUGGAUUUGGACGUCCUGAUUCCUAAAGCGGGGGGAAGAAACCCUUAUUCUUUAAGCCACUAUCGUUUGGCAUUUCUCACAUGUUACAUGCAGCCAAACUUAUUUCCUAAUAUAACCCUCUAAAUCCUUUUAUUUGAGGUUUUCUAAAGAUUCUCUUUCAGAUUUCCUGCAGUUAAGGUACUUCUUUCUGUUUUUAAGAAGCAUAACUUUGUCUACAGAUAUAUCUUCUAUGAAACUAAUAGAAAUAUAAUUCAUUACAAAAAUGACCUGGUAUUUUACAACUUUCAAGCUGAAGCAACCUUAGUGAUCACCUAGCUAUUGAAUAUUUUAUCACUAUCUGAAAAACUUACAUGAUGUGUAAGCUUCUUUGCUUGCUAAUUACAUCUCUUUUAAUGAACAGAGUACCAACAGGAAAGGAGCAUUGUCAUACUCCUCACUAUAUUGUCAUAAGCUAAAACAAUGUCUGCCUUGUAAUAGGCAAAUGAUAAAUGUUUAAUCAAUGAACCUAGUUAUCUAAAUUCAUCUAAUGAAGAAACAAUCUUAGAUUAUUGUUUCUCCAGAACUACAAAUUUAUUCAACCACUUGUGACCUGUAAAAAUGGUCAUUUUAUAUGAAUUCAACCUAAAAGUGGCAGAAUGGAGAUAAGAAUUGUAGUCUUCUGAUUAUUGACCUGAGCUUCCCUGGUAGCUUAGACAGUAAAGCAUCCGCCUGCAAUGCAGGGCCUGAAAUGUGGAAGACUUGGGUUCAGAUCCCUGGGUUGGAAAGAUCCCCUGGAGGAGGGCAUGGCAACCCUCUGGGGCUGCAGAGUCAGACACGACUGAGUGACUAAACACAGCACAGAUUAUUGAUCCAGGGCUCUUUACAUCGCAAUAUAGUUACUAGUUAUGAUUCAGAUUGCAAAAUUAUUCUUUAUCAAAAUAAAUUUUCAUAUAUUACAACUUGUACUCCUAUUUAAUAUUUAAAAUAGGGUCCAAUUAAUAAAAAUGUCACUUAUAUUCAACAUUCCAGAAAAGAGGAGGAAAGGAAAUUAAAGUUACUUGGGGAAGCAUCAGGUACUCAGUGUGUGUCAUUGCACUUAAUCCUCACUUUGGUUCCAUUUCACAGGNNNNNNNNNNNNNNNNNNNNNNNNNNNNNNNNNNNNNNNNNNNNNNNNNNNNNNNNNNNNNNNNNNNNNNNNNNNNNNNNNNNNNNNNNNNNNNNNNNNUCAUUGCACUUAAUCCUCACUUUGGUUCCAUUUCACAGGUGAUAAAACCAAACAUUAUUUCAGUAAGUAGACUAGCCUGGUGUUUCCCAGCAACUAAGUGGUGAAAAAAGUUUGAGGCUGUGUAUGUCUCAUUCUAAAGCUUGUGCUCUUCCUAGGGUACCAAAUACUAUUUUACUGAUUAUAAUCUAUAAAUCACUUGAUAAAUAUAAAUUNNNNNNNNNNNNNNNNNNNNNNNNNNNNNNNNNNNNNNNNNNNNNNNNNNNNNNNNNNNNNNNNNNNNNNNNNNNNNNNNNNNNNNNNNNNNNNNNNNNUAAUCUAUAAAUCACUUGAUAAAUAUAAAUUAUUAAAUUACCUACAUCUUCCAGUUGAUUUCAUCAACCUCAGAAGCAUAGUCAUAUUUUUAUCUAAUAAAGAACAUUCCUACUACCUUUAAAAUGGAUCCACAUUUUUAACUGCAGACCAUUGCUUCUGGUUAGACAAUUUUCAAAGUUAAACUGUGGAACAUUACAAGGCAAGACACUUGACAUUUUUCUCUAGUUCUUGUUCAUGCAUCAAAUCUAUAAUUUCUUGACCACAGAAGAUUUGUACAGUAUGUACACUUGGUUUAACUAGUGGUUUAGAAAAAAAGAGAAGUGUCAAUUCAGAAAAGCAGCUGCUUCUAAAUGGAAUGAUGUCAGACAGGCUUAAAAUAAGCUUGGUCCAAGAUUGCUUAUUCUCCUGUGAACUCGUUGGCACUUCUUAAAACUUCCUCACUUUGCAAUGAUUAUAUUAAAUCACCUCUCUAUUUCUGUAAGAUUAGGCUGGGUGGUCUAAUCCAAUCUUUUAGUGAUCUAAAAUCUAUUUGUAGAAACCAGCCUCUUUUUCAAAUGGAAUCUUAUGUGAAACAUUAAUAUGUAAAUCAGACAAGAUUUGAAAAAAGGGUGAGGUCUAAAAUGGGAGCCCAGAGGCCCAUUAGCUGCACUCCAGCUUGGGCCUAGAAAGGAGGAUUGCCAAGGCCUUCUGCUGAUACCUGU